UACUUAACACAUGCAAGUCGUACGAGAAAGGGGACUUCGGUCCCUGAGUAGAGUGGCGCACGGGUGCGUAACACGUAAGUAAUCUACCCCGAACACUGGGAUAACCCUCCGAAAGGAGGGCUAACACUGGAUAGGGUCCCCGAGGUCUAAGCCGCGGGGGAAAAACGGGCCUCUGUUUCAUGCUCGUGGUUCGGGAUGAGCUUGCGGCCCAUUAGCUAGUUGGUAGGGUAAUGGCCUACCAAGGCUACGAUGGGUAGCUGGUCUGAGAGGAUGAUCAGCCACGCUGGCACUGAGACACGGGCCAGACUCCUACGGGAGGCAGCAGUGGGGAAUUUUGCGCAAUGGGCGAAAGCCUGACGCAGUAACGCCGCGUGGAGGAUGAAGGCCUUCGGGUUGUAAACUCC
rnacentral:rRNA from 1 species